rnacentral:rRNA from 1 species
UACAGAGGGUGCAAGCGUUAAUCGGAAUUACUGGGCGUAAAGCGCGCGUAGGCGGCUGUCUAAGUCGGAUGUGAAAGCCCCGGGCUCAACCUGGGAACUGCAUUCGAUACUGGGCGGCUAGAGUAUGAAAGAGGGAGGUAGAAUUCCACGUGUAGCGGUGAAAUGCGUAGAUAUGUGGAGGAAUACCGAUGGCGAAGGCAGCCCCCUGGGUCAGCACUGACGCUCAUGCACGAAAGCGUGGGGAGCAAACAGG